rnacentral:rRNA from 1 species
AACGAACGCUGGCGGCAGGCUUAACACAUGCAAGUCGAGCGCCCCGCAAGGGGAGCGGCAGACGGGUGAGUAACGCGUGGGAAUCUACCCAUCUCUACGGAAUAACGCAUGGAAACGUGUGCUAAUACCGUAUACCUCCUUCGGGAGAAAGAUUUAUCGGAGAUGGAUGAGCCCGCGUUGGAUUAGCUAGUUGGUGGGGUAAAGGCCUACCAAGGCGACGAUCCAUAGCUGGUCUGAGAGGAUGAUCAGCCACACUGGGACUGAGACACGGCCCAGACUCCUACGGGAGGCAGCAGUGGGGAAUAUUGGACAAUGUGCGCAAGCCUGAUCCAGCCAUGCCGCGUGAGUGAUGAAGGCCCUAGGGUUGUAAAGCUCUUUCAUCGGUGAAGAUAAUGACGGUAACCGGAGAAGAAGCCCCGGCUAACUUCGUGCCAGCAGCCGCAGUAACAC